rnacentral:tRNA from 1 species
GAGGGUAUAGCUCAGUGGUGGAGUGCUCGCUUAGCAUGCACGAGGUCCUGGGUUCAAUCCUCAGCACCUCCA